AUUUACUAGAAGGAUGUUCAAGUUCUCCUCUUACGAUAUUAAACCUGAGGAGAGGGUUGAAAAAUUCUCCUACAGGGAAUAUUGCUGGUUUCUUCUUGUUUAUUCCAAGCUUUGGUUUGGAGGAUGAGAUUAAUACCAGCUCAUGGACGCUGCAGGCUGCACUGGGCUGCACCUGGGUGAGGCUGGGCUGGGGCGGGGAUUCUGGCUCAGUGUUGCUAGACCCAGGAGAUCAUAAGCUAUCUCCUACAAGGGUGCCAUUGUGCCUGGUGCCUCACUGGUGAUUUCACUGUGGGGCCGUCUCCCUCCAAGCUUCCUGUAGCCUGGGGAGGGCAGCUAGAGAAUGGUUCUCCAGUGAAGUCAUUGGGCCCAAACUGCAGCUGUCAGCCUCACCCUGCACACUCAGGUCCCAGCCUCAUCUCCUGGAGUGGAGGUGCUGAAGGACGAGUAGACUGCCUUAGUCUGCAGCGGAGAUGCUGGGCCUGCUGGCUCAAGAGGCCUGAGGUAGCUGAGCUCAAGUGGCCUUCUCGGAGAAACCCACUCUUCUCAUGCAAAUGGAUCAUGAGACCAGCUGUCUGAAGUCAAAGGACUGUGGCUGCCCUUCUCCUUCCAAGCCAUGAAUGCUCCAGAAUCUUGGGAUUUUCCUUGGGGUCAACGUGUCCAGUGCUUGGAAUAAAUUACAAAUGAACCAAAAGUGAGAUUUCAGAGGUGGAGCCGUCCCUCCUGAAGCCGAGGUCCAGGUGUGGCCGCAGGAAUGCAUGGAGGUAGGUGAUGAUGAAGGUCAAGGGAUGGAUCACCCAUGUGCCAGUCACCUGGGAUGGGGGAAGGGCCUGGGAGAAGGAGGGACUCAGCACCAUGUGCCAAAGUCUUCCAUGAAUAAAGACGAGUUAUCAGAGGGGUGGUAGAUGAUCUCCAUGUUGGGAUGGAAACUUUACAAACGAAUAACUACAGUUCUUGGGUGUGAAUGCCUGACUGCGCUGUGGUGAGGAGGCUGUUUGUGGUGGAGGAGAAGAGAUGGCGCUAUGUUGGAACCUUCUUCUCACCAGCAUUCCCAAGGCUGCAGGUCUGCCGGGGGAGAGGUGAGGCAAGUGACGGUAAAGUGCUACAAAAGGCUGCAAGAGCCUCAUCACAGGCACAGAUAAUAAAGACCUUCAGAAGGCACUUGGGGUUGAGAUUGGAGAUGAGGCUCCAGAGGGGUCUAUGGAUUCCACCACACAAACAGUGGUGUCAGCAGAAAUCAUCCUCCUUCAAUAAUCCAAGUGUCUCCAGCCUGGCUCGUUGGAGAUUUGAGGUGCUGAUUAAUCACGCCUCUUCCUACCCAUGGAUUCUAACCAACCUGAGAAAUAGGCAUGAGUGAUCAAUAAGGAUUCAGAUACCACCUUUGUUUUAUUAUCCAAAGCUGGAUUGGAGAAUGUGGCUUAGAACUGAGGCUGAAAUUGGACUUUCUGCUUCUGCUUUCUCGAAUCUAGUGCCUACAUAUGGGGUGAAUUGGGUCUGUGGAACCAAUCUUGUCCCAUCCGCUGCAUAUGACGUGCCCCAUACAUCCCCCACCAUGGGGAGAGUGGUGGGCUCCAAAACUGCCUUUUCAUGCAGAGACCCACCUCUAGUUAAUGCAGCCCAGUGGAUGAAAAGCUCUGCCCAGAUCACUGAGGACAUGAGCCACCCCUCCUUGUCCCAAGGAGGCAUGAGAGAGGGGGUGAAGAGGAUGGCUCCCUGAGUGACCACGAGUGUUUGAGGAAAUUCCCAUUUUAUGGACCAAAUUGUGUGGGGAGAGAAGAACAGAAGUUACCCCAUGACGCUCAAAAGGCAGGGGAGAUGCUACAGGGCACUGUACAGGGGAAAUCAGACCCUCAAGAGCAGGAUCCUGGAGUAUGGGAAUUUGAGUUGUGAACUGAUUGAGAAGUGAAAUGAAAGACUUGGCAGCUGGAGACGCAAAUACGGUACCAUCUUUGUUACUGAUAGAGUGGAGAAUGUGGCUUAUAUCUGUGGACUGGUGGAUUUCUUGAUCCUGAGCUCCCAGCCUAAAAAGACUUACCUCCCCCAGGUGAGAAGACAGACUGAGAGAGGUUGUGUGACUUGUCCAAGGACACACAGCUAGGAAGCAGGAGAACUAUAGCGCAAGCCCAGCUUCACUUGGAUCCAGAGCCUGAAACAUGAAGCAGGCUCCCCUCUAUUGUUGAAUGAAUAAAUGAACGAGGUGAAACUGGAGGACAACAGGUUGAGGGGUUUGGCCGGCUUGGGACAAUCUGUGUGCAGUGUUGUAAAUUCAGUUGCCUUUCUCCUGCCUCAGGGGCUGGUCCUGGGCACUUUUCACCUGGACGUUCUGCCCCUGCCAGGCCAGGCGAAGAAGUGCCCCAGACGUGGGCUCUGGAGCUGGUCCUGCUGUCCCAGGGGCCCCCUGUCAGGGUGUGCUGGGGAAAGAGUCACAGGCAUCGGCUUGUCCACUUGGCUACCACCAUCCCCUUUGCUUGGGUUUUGAUUUCAUUCUAGAUCGCCAGUGGAUCUGCUCUGGUUGGCUUUCCAGAUGGCCGGGUGGCCUGAACACCACCUGCCAGAGGAGCUCUUGGACAAAGCCCCUUCCCCAAAGAGAACGGCAUAAACCCAUCUCUGUCUGAGCUGGCAAACUGACUCACGGAUUAGGGAAAAGCGUGGCAGACUGAGGCUGCCACUCAACUUCCCCUCUCCUGGCGGGAAUUUCCCGGUCUCCGUGCAUCUGGUCACCACAUUUCCAGACAUCCCUCUCACCGCUGGGCAUUAAACAAAAAACAGAGCCCCUGAGACCUCAUUUUCCCCGGCUUGUUCUUCACACCUCACGAGUGAUUUUUAAUCCUUGGGGCAGCCACAGUUAUCUUUAUUCCUGCUUCCUCCCUCCCGGAGAGGACCCCUUCCCUUCUCUGGGUAUCUGUAUCCUCCUCAUUGACUUUGCCACCUCCCGCUCUUUCCUCAUUCGCUGUCACGCCUGCCCUUGCGUGGACUGCUGUUAUCUUAAUCUCUUUCUUUGGAAACUCCUGUCACUUCUAAUUCUCUCAUUUUUCUCCAUCUACCUCAGCCUUUUUUCCCAGGCCCCUUCGCCUUCUCAGCUUUCUUUUCAAAGACCUUGUAUUUCUUUUUCUCCUUAUAUGGUCCAAUGUGACCUGACAGGGUGGCUGAAGCAGCAGAUUGGGGAUAGAAAUAUGCACUAGUUCUCCACAGAUUUUUUUUUUUUGAAUGGAGCAUUUGCAAUCAAUUUAUGUAGUUUAGCUGAAAGGUUAAGAAUUUUCCACUUAAAAAUCAACCUCUCCAAAUUAAAAUUUUUUGGUGCUUUUUUUUCAUUGUAGUCAGGUCUACACAUGCCCUCAUGCAAGAGACUGUUCUGGAAAGGGCUUCCUGAGGAAGGUCUGUGGAGUGUGCACCACUUUUACUCAAGCCUUUUGAACAUUGAUUUCUCGGAGGCUGGAGAAUAUGUUGUUCUUUUGUCUUCCUUAGGAUUCUCUCUCAGAGAAGUGAUUUCAAAAUGAGGUGCUUCUGUUAGUGACACAUGUGGGGAUGGGAAGAAAUGGUGUCAGGGUCCAUUUGUACUUGAGUCCCUUCAGGACAGGUCUCUAUGGAAAUAAAUGUUCACAAAACAAAAUAGGGCAAAGCAACUCUCAAUUGCUGGCUGAGACCCUGACUCCAAACCCUGUUGCAAACCUCAGCAGAUCCAGGCUCUACCCCACGGAGGUUUCCUUUUCUUAGGCUAAGUGGUCCCUGAGGAGUUGGGAGUGGGUGCCGUCCACACCUCCACUCAGAUCCCUGUUUCCAGCUGGUGCACCCACGGUCCAGCAGCUCUGGGUGUUGCCUCAUGUCUGCCCCCGUCUCUAGAGAUUUUCCUUCGCCCAGGAGUCUCUUCACGUGGGAGGAGGCGGGCUCCCCCAACUCCCCAGCAGCCUGUAUCCAGUGACCAAUCAGCAGGGGAUACAGAAGGUCAAUCCACGUUUCAAAGUGGGAUCCACUCUGUGGGACAAUUCAUGCUCCAGAAUGCCCUGUGGGGUCGGGCUUCAGCCAGACCCCAGCUCAGACCACAUCUUGGCUUAGUUCCUCCCCUCCCUAUCCUGCUUUCUUCACUUCCUCAAUAGAUCCUGUGUACCCCAAUCCUUGUCUCAGGCUCUGCUUUCAGAGAACCAGAUAUAAAACAGACUACCAUGCCAAACUGGCAAAAGGAUCUACCCCAUCCAUGCCCAGACCUGAAUCUGGGAACUUACUGUCCCAGGGCGAAGGAUGAUCACACACAUUGAGAGAAGCUGGAGAGGCCCUAGUGUAGAUGCUUACCCCAUUGCGGGAGUGGAACUGGUCCAGACUGGUCUAGUCUUUUUGGAGCUGUAAGGGUGGAGGGAGUCACAGGCCUGUAUCAUCAGCCACUGGGGAUCAAGAGAGAAAGUGUACCAAAGUGGCAUGGAGAAUAUCAAAGAGAAAGAAAGAUGACCUUCCCCAAAGAGGGUUGGUUCCAGAAAGGUUCUAGGAAGAACCAACUGAGAGAUGGAGGGGAGUGUGUUUUAGGUCCCUGCAACUGUGGAUGCAGAAGAGACCCUACUGUUUGUUCCUGACCUUUUCAGCUCUGUUUCAUCUACCAGAGUGUUCCUCCCCUUUGGGGGUGCAGUUGGGGCGGGUGAGAAGGGACUGAGCAGUAGCUGUGUUGGAGAUGGGUAGAGAAAAGGUGAAGAGAAGCAAUCUUUUCCCCUUGGCCUGACUUCACUUAGCUCUCUCUCUACUUUGUCUUAUUUCUUGGACUUCAAAUCUUUCAUACCCUUCCUUGCUGUGAAGUCUUAGCUCAGCUUUUUGCUCCUGUCAGCUUCUCUCCCAUUUUCCCGUCUGGCCAAAUUCUUGGCAUUCAUUCAACAAAUAUUUACUAAGUGCCUACCAGGCAUCAGGCACUUUUCUAGAUGUUGGGGAGUCACUAGAAACAGCUGCCUCAGUUGUUGCCAAUGGGAAAGACACCCCAAAAACAUGCAAACAGCUAAGUAGGAUAAAUUCAGCAAGAGGGAAGUGUUGUGAGGGAAACGAAAGAAGAGCAUCCUGUACUCAUCACCCUGCUGUCUGCUUGCAUUUGCUGUGAGUCUCGUCUGCCCGGUGAAGCUGCAGGUGAUUUGAGGGCAAAGAUCUCAGCCGACACUGCUUCCUCCAAGAAGCCCCAUCCAGUGUCUCACUCAUCACAAAGAUGUCAACGCCAACUUGUUGGUUUCUCCACAGCAAUUACCCCCAGGCUGUCCAAGUCUGGACCAGCCUUAGGUUUCGAUCCUUUUGCCUUGGGUUUCUCCCGCUGCACGAUUUGUGUGCAGGGGAGUGGAUGUGGCCUCUGAUGGCCUGCAGCGGAGCCUUAUGCUUCUUGCUGGUGUGCGAUAGACAGUGAGUCUCAAUGUUCGUAGCCCCAUUUCCCUUCUGUGUAAGACAGGGGAGGCGAGGAUGCCCAUUUCACAGGGUUAGGAGGGAUGGAAUGAGACCAUCUGCAUCAAGUUCUCCCUCAAGGGAGGAUGUUGGGUGAUGGGUCAAGUCCUCAUUUAGCACCAAACUUGUGACCAGCCUCAGGAGGAUCUGAAAAGAAUGCGGGGCCCAAGGCUCUCGCGGUUUGGUUGCCUCCAAGGCAGCCUUGGCCAUCAGUUUUGGGGUUAAUUGAGGUCCUGAGCGCGGGCCUCUAGGAGGAGGCAGAGGGAAAUGCAGGAGGAAGGCUCUCUCCCAGCCUUCCCGCUGCCCCAGACCCAGAGUCCAUCUUUUCCCUCCUCACACUGAUACCCUCCUGAUGUUCCUAUUUCUCUCCUUGCUUCGGCUUAAAAUCCCAGAUUCACCUGGAUUUUCCCUUGUCUCUCACCCUGUUCCUCCUCCCGGAUCCCAAGUCUCUCGUGUUCUGUGUUUCAUGUUUUCCGCCUCCCAUCAUUUCAUUCUCUUCGCCCUUGCCUUGCUCCCAGUCCCAGAUCCUCCUUUUGCAUUUCUCCGUGGCUGGUGUCACUUCCUCCUGGGUAUCUCUGACCCCUGUGUCUCCUCAUUACAGUCCAUCUGUCACACUUGGCAAUCCUGCUUCCUAAAAGGUAAAUAGUCCAUACCCCGCACACUGGCGUUUGAAGCUGCCUGCCACGUGACCCACUCUACCUUCCCACCUUCCAUCCUCGUCACCGUGGCCAAACUCGCCUACUCCCUGCUCCCUGGACGUGUCCCGUAUUGCCCUGCCCCUGAGCUUUCCCUCCUGCUGUUCCUGGUGUUAAGGAGGCCACAGUUGCCCUUCCUUCUAGGCGUGGUUCAGAUAUAGCCCCUGAUGCCAUGACUGGUCAGGAACUCGCUCUCACCUCUGCGUAUUCAUGCUCCUCAUCUCAUACCUUUCCUCUGACGUUUCUGUCUUUCAGCUGCUCUAGGAAUUGGGCCCUUUGGUGACGCCACUGAGGAAGUUUUAUUUUCUCAGAUUCCGAUGUGAGCAUUCCUCUUGGGUGAAACCCAUGUUUGUCGAGAACAUGCCUCGAUAGCUAAGAGUUGUGAGAGUGGCUUCCAAAGCAAUUCCAGGAUCCCAACCUUGGAACCAUCCGAAACCAUCCACCACCUGCACCGCCAAACCAGCGUAUGCCAGUUCCUCCGAAAUUGGAAGGAUCCUUACACGGGUGUCCACCCUACUCAGAAGACAGCCCUCGUGGUUGGUGGGGUGUCAUCUAAAAUCUGUUGCCUUCACUUCUGUCAGACAUUGAUCCCUAUAUCACAUCCACAUGGGAUGUGUGAGAUUUCCUCCUCGUGACAAACGAGGAAAUGAGGCUCAGAUUAAAUUACUCGCCCAAGUUCGUGCAGUUCGUAAUGGAGAGAUGUGAAGUACAAACCCACAGUAUUUCUUAAUCCAUAUAUUGUGUUCUCAGCCACUAAGCUAUCGUGCCUCCAAGUAGACAUUCGCUGAUGGAAUGGGGUUGAAUAGCGAUACAGGAGUGAGUGUGGCCAAGAGCCAAAAGGCUCAUAACGGAGAGAAAUGCUGUAGGACUUGAGAGAAGAGUGGACUGUCUCUGAGCAACAUGGGUGCUACUACAGGGCUGUCAGGUGGCCUUGCCACUGGAUCAAGCAAGCAGCUGCUGGUGGGGCCUUUCUGGGCAGCCUGAGAAGGAAGAACGCUCGUAGGGAAACUGACUGAGGAUGAACCGUGCCAGAAAUGGCCACUCUGUCACCGGCCCCCUCUUAGGUCAUAUUUCAAAGACUGGCUCAGGGCCACUGGCUGGGGCGCACGAGUAUGAGGUCAUGGCUGAGCAAUCUGACUCUAAAAAAUAUAAGGACCAACAUGGGAGUUUUAUCGCAUUUCUGCCUCCCAGGCAUGAAGUCAGCUGGACCGCGCGUGACGGGAGCGUUCCUCUUGUAAUUAGCCUGGGUGGUUUUUUUUUCAUGUUCUGUCUAAAUUCAGUGUGCUGCGAGCGCGCCCGCUCCCUCGGAGCCACCCGACAGCAGUAGCGGAGGAGAGUCAUGGCCAUAAAAUCUGGAAGGCUCAUGGCGGGGAUGGAGGGUGGUGGAGAAAUAGAAAUAUUGUUAUCACCUUCCAGCGUAAUUUCACCAGCUGCAUUGUGCCUUCGGUAACACUAAGCCAGAAGCGAUGGUUUUAGUGGGGAAAUAUCAGUUCUCUAUUGGGACAGAGGCCCUGGCAGCCCCUUGUUCUUUUGAGGGCGGAUGGGGCACGUUAAAUUCCCGUGCUGCCGCUCACCAGCUGGAACCUGUGUGGAUUUGCUCGGAGACAUUUGGAUGUGAUCAGUG
rnacentral:lncRNA from 1 species